AGAAACAUGGUCUGAGUCCUACCUAACUAUAUAAAGAGUAACUGAAGGUUAAAUGCAGCUAACGUCCUGUUUUAAGCCAGACACUCAACCUCCGCUCCGCUGCGUCACAGCCGCCAUCGCUCUGGCUGAAGCACCCCAAAAAAUGGGCCAACAUCGCCCCUGCUGCCAGCACAAAUGAAGACGUCCGAUUUUGGAAGUAAAAGUCUCCGCCUGAUUGCUGCCAUCAAAAAGAAUCGUACUUCAACAGCUCCUGGAUGAGGUCUUCUGCUGCUCUCCUCGCUGAGUAACAGGAGGAGAAGAGUCUGGUGGUGCAGCAGAGCAACAAUUUCAGCCAUUUGGACUCAGCUCAGCCACUACAGAGGAAACAAUGACUUCAACACAAAAGGACCAACAUGGAGCGAGAAGUCAGCGCUCUCAGGAGGCCGACAAACCUCACAGAAGAAAGGGAAAGAAAACCUUCAGCUGUGAUGAGUGUGGGAAGGAUUUUACCCGGGUGGAAGGCCUAAAAGCUCACCAAGUCAUCCACAGUGGAGUUAAACCUUACAACUGUGACUUAUGUGGGAAGGAUUUUACCCGAGC